rnacentral:rRNA from 1 species
UACGAAGGGGGCUAGCGUUGCUCGGAUUUACUGGGCGUAAAGGGCGCGUAGGCGGAUAGUUUAGUCAGAGGUGAAAGCCCAGGGCUCAACCCUGGAACUGCCUUUGAUACUGGCUAUCUUGAGUUCGGGAGAGGUGAGUGGAAUGCCGAGUGUAGAGGUGAAAUUCGUAGAUAUUCGGCGGAACACCAGUGGCGAAGGCGACUCACUGGCCCGAUACUGACGCUGAGGCGCGAAAGCGUGGGGAGCAAACAGG